CAGCAGAACCAAGAUGGCGGAGUGAGCAGCGACGCGCUGAAGUUGACUUUUAACUCCAAACACUGAGACUUGUUGUGCUCCCUUCCUCUGCCCGGACCGCUGCCCGCUGAAAACCAACACUGAUGUUCCCAGCAAUGUUGAGCUGAAGGUCUUGUGACAGUGGAGGGAAAACCAGUCCAGGUGUCUUUUUGUGGGAUGUCCAGGCUAGGUGGCCUGAGGGGGUUCAUCCCCGAAGCACAGACCACCAGCGCAGACACUCUCACUGCUGAGAGACUACACCAGCUACAAGCUACACCACAGUGGGACAUGUCCACACCUAGAGACACCUGCACGGCUGCUUGAGGGAGAGAGCUGAGCAGCAGCAAACAGCUGAGGAGGAACUCGGAGAGAUCACCGUUGUCGGUGUUAGCUUUUAUUCAGCCAACUUCCAUUUCUCCUUCUUGGAUCUCUGAUAUUUUACAUUCCAUCCAACAAAUAAUCCUCUG